AGAGUUUGAUUAUGGCUCAGGAUGAACGCUGGCGGCGUGCUUAACACAUGCAAGUUGGGCGGUUCUUCCGAAUGAGACUUCGGUGGAUUUGGAAGAGAUAGCAGCGGACGGGUGAGUAAGGCACAAGGACGUGCCCUGAGGUGGGGGACAACUACGGGAAACCGUAGCUAAUACCCCGUAAGCCGAGAGGUGAAAGCAGCAAUGCGCCGAAGGAGCGACUUGUGUCCUAUCAGGUAGUUGGUGAGGCAACGGCUCACCAAGCCGAAGACGGGUAGCCGGACUGAGAGGUUGUACGGCCACAUUGGAACUGAGAGACGGUCCAGACUCCUACGGGAGGCAGCAGUGGGGAAUAUUGGGCAAUGGGCGAAAGCCUGAACCCCCAGCGACGCCGCGUGAGGGAAGACAGCCUUCGGGUUGUAAACCUCUGUUGCAGGGGAAGAAGGAAGUGACGGUACCCUGCGAGGAAGCUCCGGCUAACUACGUGCCAGCAGCCGC
rnacentral:rRNA from 1 species